rnacentral:rRNA from 1 species
AUUGAACGCUGGCGGCAUGCUUUACACAUGCAAGUCGAACGGUAACAGGCCUUCGGGUGCUGACGAGUGGCGAACGGGUGAGUAAUGCAUCGGAACGUACCCAGAGGUGGGGGAUAACGCAGCGAAAGCUGUGCUAAUACUGCAUGUGAUCUGAGGAUGAAAGCGGGGGACCGAGCAGCAAUGUUUGGCCUCGCGCCUUUGGAGCGGCCGAUGUCGGAUUAGCUAGUUGGUGGGGUAAAGGCCUACCAAGGCGACGAUCCGUAGCUGGUCUGAGAGGACGACCAGCCAUACUGGGACUGAGACACGGCCCAGACUCCUACGGGAGGCAGCAGUGGGGAAUUUUGGACAAGGGGCGCAAGCCUGAUCCAGCAAGGCCGCGGGCGGGAAGAAGGCCUUCGGGUUGUAAACCGCUUUUGGCAGGAACGAAACGGUGUCCGCUAAUACCGGGCGCUAAUGACGGUACCUGCAGAAUAAGCACCGGCUAACUACGU